GUGCCAGCAGCCGCGGUAAUACGAAGGGUGCAAGCGUUAAUCGGAAUUACUGGGCGUAAAGCGCGCGUAGGUGGUUUUGUAAGUUGGAAGUGAAAGCCCCGGGCUCAACCUGGGAACUGCAUUCGAAACUGGCAGGCUAGAGUCUUGUAGAGGGGGGUAGAAUUCCAGGUGUAGCGGUGAAAUGCGUAGAGAUCUGGAGGAAUACCGGUGGCGAAGGCGGCCCCCUGGACAAAGACUGACGCUCAGGUGCGAAAGCGUGGGGAGCAAACAGGAUUAGAUACCCUGGUAGUCCACGCCGUAAACGAUGUCGACUUGGAGGUUGUUCCCUUGAGGAGUGGCUCCCGGAGCUAACGCGUUAAGUCGACCGCCUGGGGAGUACGGCCGCAAGGUUAAAACUCAAAUGAAUUGACGGGGGCCCGCACAAGCGGUGGAGCAUGUGGUUUAAUUCGAUGCAACGCGAAGAACCUUACCUACUCUUGACAUCCACGGAAUUUAGCAGAGAUGCUUUAGUGCCUUCGGGAACCGUGAGACAGGUGCUGCAUGGCUGUCGUCAGCUCGUGUUGUGAAAUGUUGGGUUAAGUCCCGCAACGAGCGCAACCCUUAUCCUUUGUUGCCAGCGGUCCGGCCGGGAACUCAAAGGAGACUGCCAGUGAUAAACUGGAGGAAGGUGGGGAUGACGUCAAGUCAUCAUGGCCCUUACGAGUAGGGCUACACACGUGCUACAAUGGCGCAUACAAAGAGAAGCGAACUCGCGAGAGCAAGCGGACCUCAUAAAGUGCUUCCUAGUCCCGAUUGGAGUCCGCAACUCGACUCCAUGAAGUCGGANUCGCUUGUAAUCNNNNANCAGCAACGCUGCGGUGAAUNCGUUCCCGGGACCUGGACACACCGCCCGU
rnacentral:rRNA from 1 species